AUCCUUCUGUGGUUCAUAAGCACGAUGAUUGGGUUUUCAUGUGCAUGAGUGAGAUGUGCCUCCCAUAAAUCUUGUUAAGACACUGGCACAUUACCUGUCUGAUA